GGCCUGGCCCUGGCACCCGAGGCGGAGGCGGAGGCGGGGGCAGCGCCGGCCGGGGCCACGGCCGCCGGUCCGCCCGCCGGGUUUCGGUUAGACCUCAACAGGAAGCUUUCCCUUCCCUCGCGGUAAAGAGGGAAACACUUCCACGGGGGCACCCAGAGAGGUGUUAUGUAGCUGUGGCUGUUGCUACCCUAUGCAGUACCUUUGUGAAAUUAAAAAAGCACCAGACCAGAACCUCAGGGAGACACAUGGACAGAUACUGCCAUUCCAGGGCAUGUCUGCUGUGAUAUCCUCUUCAGAGGUGGAAGAUGCAUUGCCUAGAACUAUGGCUGUGUAAGCACCACUGCCAGUACAGCAAAGGAAACCUUCCCUUGUUCCUACCCAGCAGGCUCAACCCUACGUUAGUAAAUGCAAAAGCCUGGAGUUUAAUAAAAAAUUAUUAUUUCUUA